rnacentral:rRNA from 1 species
CGGACGGGUGAGUAAUGUCUGGGAAACUGCCUGAUGGAGGGGGAUAACUACUGGAAACGGUAGCUAAUACCGCAUAACGUCGCAAGACUAAAGAGGGGGACCUUAGGGCCUCUUGCCAUCGGAUGUGCCCAGAUGGGAUUAGCUAGUAGGUGGGGUAACGGCUCACCUAGGCGACGAUCCCUAGCUGGUCUGAGAGGAUGACCAGCCACACUGGAACUGAGACACGGUCCAG